GGUGGCCUCUGGUGCCGCCGCGCAGGGUAUCGGGGCCUGCGCAAGUGGCGCAGCCGCUUCAUGGCGGCCGGUCGGCCGCCGCGUCCUCGCGCCGUUCGCUGCCGAGCUGCAGCCCUCACAGAGCUCCAGUGCCGGGGGUCUGCCGUGCGAGCUUCAGGCACGUUCACAGAAGGAUAGUUUAAUAUAUAUAUAUGACCACAUUUCGGAUUUGGUUGAGGUGAAAAAAUGAGGCGACAGCAAACGGUAGCCCUGGGCUUGCAAUCAGACCCGGAGGAGGAGGUAUUGCCAUCUCAGCUCCAGGAGUCUGUGUGGAUGGAUCCAGUUUCAGUACAGAAGAUGCUGUGUCACGGUUUGUGGAUGAAGGAACAGAAGGAGUUCACCACAGAACGUUCAUAUGCAUUUAUGUACUUGUAGCAAAGGGCUUUUGCUGGAUAUAGGGAACUACUCCUUGCUGUUUGCCUUACUUUGCCAUGGGCAGAAACACAGCAUGGCUACUUGCAAUUUAAGGUAAUACUCAGGCAUAAUAGUUAUCAGUGGUUUGCCAUUAAUAUAAUUUCUAUUAAUGAAAAAAAGGGAGCAUUCUUUCUCUGUUAGGUUUCUGUAAGACCACAUUUUCUGUUAUUUAGGGAUCAAAGAUCCACUUGAACUAGAAAAAGGACGAGGAAAAGCUGCUUUGCCUUUUCAGUCCUUAGGAGGAAGCAAAAACCCAGGAAAAUCAGGCAAAUAGUUACAAAUCCAAAUUAACGUUUGGAAGGCAGUGAAGUUCUUCUGCUUUCCCUUGUUACCCAUUUGAAAAGUUGAAAACCUUUCUUUAAUUAAAAAAAGAUGAUUACUUGUACAUAUAAGCAUGUUAGUACAAACCUGUAUUUUUAGAUAUGUUCAAGAACGUUAAACCAUUAGAUUACAAUAAACAGCAUUUCCAUUGUUUGA